UACGUAGGGUGCAAGCGUUGUCCGGAAUUAUUGGGCGUAAAGAGCUCGUAGGCGGUCUGUCGCGUCUGCUGUGAAAACUCAGGGCUUAACCCUGAGCUUGCAGUGGGUACGGGCAGACUAGAGUGCGGUAGGGGAGACUGGAAUUCCUGGUGUAGCGGUGAAAUGCGCAGAUAUCAGGAAGAACACCCGUGGCGAAAGCGGCUCUCUGGAACGGUACUGACGCUGAGACGCGAAAGCGUGGGGAGCAAACAGG
rnacentral:rRNA from 1 species